rnacentral:rRNA from 1 species
AACGAACGCUGGCGGCAUGCCUAACACAUGCAAGUCGAACGAGACCUUCGGGUCUAGUGGCGCACGGGUGAGUAACGCGUGGGAACCUGCCCUUCGGUUCGGAAUAACUCCCCGAAAGGGGUUCUAAUACCGGAUAAUGUCUUCGGACCAAGGAUUUAUUGCUUUUGGUUGGGCCCGCGUUGGAUUAGCUAGUUGGUAGGGUUAAAGCCUACCAAGGCGACGAUCCAUAGCUGGUCAGAGAGGAUGACCAGCCACACUGGGACUGAGACACGGCCCAGACUCCUACGGGAGGCAGCAGUGGGGAAUAUUGGACAAUGGGCGAAAGCCUGAUCCAGCAAUGCCGCGUGAGUGAUGAAGGCCUUAGGGUUGUAAAGCUCUUUUACCCGGGAUGAUAAUGACAGUACCGGGAGAAUAAGCGCCGGCUAAGUCCGUG